UUCAAAAUAACGCUGCUGUAUAGAUGUACUCUAGGAGUGUUACUUGAGGAGAAGUGCAGAUUGAACCCAAAAAAUAGACAAUAAAAAACCUUAAGUGUGAAACAGUAAUUUUCAAAUAUUAAAUUGUAUUGAAUUUUAAGAGUUGUACUGAACUGGAAUUACCUAUGAGUUUAUACUUUGCAGUUUUGGAUCAUUCACAGAGUUUCAAAAUGAUCAUUGUGCCGGUUACACUUAUUAAAGUUGUGGUUGCAGCAUAAAUAUUUGCAAUGUUUGUCAGCUUUCAGCAAUACAAAUAAGUUGUUUCCUAAGCAUAUAAGUCCUUAUUUAUUGUGUUUGCAGAAUAUCUAACUACAGUAUUUACAAGGCUUUUUGUUAUUCAUACUGUAUAUUAAAAAUGCAGCAAGGUAAAUAGUUAACUCAUUUCCUCUAUAGCCUCUGAAUUCCUUGCCUUUACCAGCUCUAGAGGAGAUUAUUGUAACUGUAUUAUGCAUAGCAUUCCAAGCUAUGGACUUUAAGACUAUUACUAGAUAAUACUAUAGUACUUUUACACCAUAGUAGAAGUUGUACUCUGGAACUCUUCAGCAGUUUUUAUACAUUUUUUUUAUACAUAGCAUUUUUUAUCUUUCUGGCAGGGGUUGAAGACAAAUGCAACUUUCCAGUUUUCCCAAUUUGGUAUUAAAAACUUCCUCAAAAGGAGAGGAUAGUAUUUUGUGGCUAGGUCUUAUCUCAAAGAUCACUUUCACAUUCUGGUCAAGAUUUUGGAUCUAAUCUUCAAGGCAAUUAGCAGAUGAAGUCCCUGCUACACUGAAGACUGUAUGAAAUCUAUUAACCACCUAGACAAUUGCACUUCUGUGGAUGCUGAUCCCAAGGCCUAGACCAAAGUGCUGAGAUACAGUGCUGGUCUCUAUGAAAACUAAACCUCCAGAGAGAAUUAGGAGAAUCCAGAGUCUGACGUCCUCUGAACCUCCUGGUUCUACCAACAAUCAAAGUGAAAUCUUCAGAUACCAAGUGUACUGAUUUUUCUGCUAUUUCUGGCCCAGCAAGAAGAAGAAGGUGGCUGACACACUCAGGAUUUCUGGACUGGUCCUGUAGACCCAAGAGGCCUGGCUAGUUUUGCUAAGAAUUUGAAUGUAUGUAUUCUUAUCUGGACCAAACAAAGUACUAAAUAAA